UUGGGGAAUAUUGGACAAUGGGCGAAAGCCUGAUCCAGCCAUGCCGCGUGUGUGAAGAAGGUCUUCGGAUUGUAAAGCACUUUAAGUUGGGAGGAAGGGCAGUAAGUUAAUACCUUGCUGUUUUGACGUUACCGACAGAAUAAGCACCGGCUAACUUCGUGCCAGCAGCCGCGGUAAUACGAAGGGUGCAAGCGUUAAUCGGAAUUACUGGGCGUAAAGCGCGCGUAGGUGGUUUUGUAAGUUGGAGGUGAAAUCCCCGGGCUCAACCUGGGAACUGCCUCCAAAACUGCAUGACUAGAGUACGGUAGAGGGUAGUGGAAUUUCCUGUGUAGCGGUGAAAUGCGUAGAUAUAGGAAGGAACACCAGUGGCGAAGGCGGCUACCUGGACUGAUACUGACACUGAGGUGCGAAAGCGUGGGGAGCAAACAGGAUUAGAAACCCGAGUAGUCC
rnacentral:rRNA from 1 species